rnacentral:rRNA from 1 species
AGGACGAACGCUGGCGGCGCGCUUAACACAUGCAAGUCGAGCGAGAACCAGUCCUUCGGGACUGGGGACAGCGGCGAACGGGUGAGUAACACGUGGGUAAUCUGCCCUCGAUUCUGGGAUAGCCCGGGGGAUACCCGGAUUAAUACCGGAUAGCCUCUCGAGCUUUCGAGCUCGUGAGAAAAGGUAGCUUCGGCCUCCGAUCGAGGAUGAGCCCGCGGCGGAUUAGCUUGUUGGUGGGGUAAUGGCCUACCAAGGCGACGAUCCGUAGCUGGUCUGAGAGGACGAUCAGCCACACUGGGACUGAGACACGGCCCAGACUCUACGGGAGCAGCAGUGGGAAUAUU